rnacentral:rRNA from 1 species
GGCGACGAUCAGUAGGGGUUCUGAGAGGAAGGUCCCCCACAUUGGAACUGAGACACGGUCCAAACUCCUACGGGAGGCAGCAGUGAGGAAUAUUGGUCAAUGGGCGAGAGCCUGAACCAGCCAAGUAGCGUGCAGGAUGACGGCCCUAUGGGUUGUAAACUGCUUUUAUAGGGGAAUAAAGUGAUCCACGUGUGGUUUUUUGCAUGUACCCUAUGAAUAAGGACCGGCUAAUUCCGUGCCAGCAGCCGCGGUAAUACGGAAGGUCCGGGCGUUAUCCGGAUUUAUUGGGUUUAAAGGGAGCGUAGGCCGGAGAUUAAGCGUGUUGUGAAAUGUAGAUGCUCAACAUCUGCACUGCAGCGCGAACUGGUUUCCUUGAGUACGCAUAAAGUGGGCGGAAUUCGUGGUGUAGCGGUGAAAUGCUUAGAUAUCACGAAGAACUCCGAUUGCGAAGGCAGCUCACUGGGGCGCAACUGACGCUGAAGCUCGAAAGCGCGGGUAUCGAACAGGAUUAGAUACCCUGGUAGUCCGCGCGGUAAACGAUGGAUGCCCGCUGUUGGGCCAACUGGUUCAGCGGCCAAGCGAAAGCAUUAAGCAUCCCACCUGGGGAGUACGCCGGCAACGGUGAAACUCAAAGGAAUUGACGGGGGCCCGCACAAGCGGAGGAACAUGUGGUUUAAUUCGAUGAUACGCGAGGAACCUUACCCGGGCUUGAAUUGCAGAGGAAGGAUUUGGAGACAAUGACGCCCUUCGGGGCCUCUGUGAAGGUGCUGCAUGGUUGUCGUCAGCUCGUGCCGUGAGGUGUCGGCUUAAGUGCCAUAACGAGCGCAACCCCUCUCCAUAGUUGCCAUCAGGUUAAGCUGGGCACUCUGUGGACACUGCCACCGUAAGGUGUGAGGAAGGUGGGGAUGACGUCAAAUCAGCACGGCCCUUACGUCCGGGGCUACACACGUGUUACAAUGGCAGGUACAGAGAGCCGGUCGUAUGCAAAUACGAUCCAAUCCUUAAAGCCUGUCUCAGUUCGGACUGGGGUCUGCAACCCGACCCCACGAAGCUGGAUUCGCUAGUAAUCGCGCAUCAGCCAUGGCGCGGUGAAUACGUUCCCGGGCCUUGUACACACCGCCCGUCAAGCCAUGAAAGCCGGGGGCGCCUGAAGUCCGUGACCGCAAGGAUCGGCCUAGGGCGAAACUGGUAAUUGGGGCUAAGUCGUAACAAGGUA